CGUGUCCGGAGCCUGAGAAUGAAUUGAGGGGAAAGGAGUAAGCCACAUUUCUGUUCAACUCCAGUCUGAAGUUAAGAGGUCUAAAGAAAGAGCAAAGCACACAUAAUGGAAUCCAACUCUUCGCGGGUAUCAAAAAUGGAAUUUUCUUAUACAACCUAUCUGUUCAAAUUAGCAUGCAAUCAUUUCAGCCUUUCUAAAUAAAAGUUUUUUUUAAACCUU